rnacentral:rRNA from 1 species
AGAGUUUGAUCCUGGCUCAGGACGAACGCUGGCGGCACGCUUAACACAUGCAAGUCGAACGAGAGAAGAGGAGCUUGCUUUUCUGAUCUAGUGGCGGACGGGUGAGUAACACGUGAGCAAUCUGCCUUUCAGAGGGGGAUACCGAUUGGAAACGAUCGUUAAUACCGCAUAACAUAAUUGAACCGCAUGAUUUGAUUAUCAAAGAUUUAUCGCUGAAAGAUGAGCUCGCGUCUGAUUAGCUAGUUGGUAAGGUAACGGCUUACCAAGGCGACGAUCAGUAGCCGGACUGAGAGGUUGAUCGGCCACAUUGGGACUGAGACACGGCCCAGACUCCUACGGGAGGCAGCAGUGGGGAAUAUUGCACAAUGGAGGAAACUCUGAUGCAGCGAUGCCGCGUGAGGGAAGAAGGUUUUAGGAUUGUAAACCUCUGUCUUCAGGGACGAAAAAAGACGGUACCUGAGGAGGAAGCUCCGGCUAACUACGUGCCAGCAGCCGCGGUAAUACGUAGGGAGCGAGCGUUGUCCGGAAUUACUGGGUGUAAAGGGAGCGUAGGCGGGAUCGCAAGUCAGAUGUGAAAACUAUGGGCUUAACCCAUAAACUGCAUUUGAAACUGUGGUUCUUGAGUGAAGUAGAGGUAAGCGGAAUUCCUAGUGUAGCGGUGAAAUGCGUAGAUAUUAGGAGGAACAUCAGUGGCGAAGGCGGCUUACUGGGCUUUAACUGACGCUGAGGCUCGAAAGCGUGGGGAGCAAACAGGAUUAGAUACCCUGGUAGUCCACGCCGUAAACGAUGAUUACUAGGUGUGGGGGGACUGACCCCUUCCGUGCCGCAGCAAACGCAAUAAGUAAUCCACCUGGGGAGUACGACCGCAAGGUUGAAACUCAAAGGAAUUGACGGGGGCCCGCACAAGCAGUGGAGUAUGUGGAUUAAUUCGAAGCAACGCGAAGAACCUUACCAGGUCUUGACAUCGUAUGCAUAGCUCAGAGAUGAGUGAAAUCUCUUCGGAGACAUAUAGACAGGUGGUGCAUGGUUGUCGUCAGCUCGUGUCGUGAGAUGUUGGGUUAAGUCCCGCAACGAGCGCAACCCUUACUGUUAGUUGCUACGCAAGAGCACUCUAGCAGGACUGCCGUUGACAAAACGGAGGAAGGUGGGGAUGACGUCAAAUCAUCAUGCCCCUUAUGACCUGGGCCUCACACGUACUACAAUGGCUGUCAACAGAGGGAAGCAAAGCCGCGAGGUGGAGCGAACCCCUAAAAGCAGUCUUAGUUCGGAUUGUAGGCUGCAACCCGCCUACAUGAAGUCGGAAUUGCUAGUAAUCGCAGAUCAGCAUGCUGCGGUGAAUACGUUCCCGGGCCUUGUACACACCGCCCGUCACGCCAUGGGAGUCGGUAACACCCGAAGCCUGUAGUCUAACCGCAAGGAGGACGCAGUCGAAGGUGGGAUUGAUGAGUGGGGUGAAGUCGAAACAAGGUA